rnacentral:tRNA from 1 species
GCCAGCUUAGCUCAGCGGCAGAGCAGCGGUUUCGUAAACCGCAGGUCCGGGGUUCGAAUCCCCGAGCUGGCU